GACGAACGCUGGCGGCGUGCCUAAUACAUGCAAGUUGAGCGCUGAAGGUUGGUACUUGUACCGACUGGAUGAGCAGCGAACGGGUGAGUAACGCGUGGGGAAUCUGCCUUUGAGCGGGGGACAACAUUUGGAAACGAAUGCUAAUACCGCAUAAAAACUUUAAACACAAGUUUUAAGUUUGAAAGAUGCAAUUGCAUCACUCAAAGAUGAUCCCGCGUUGUAUUAGCUAGUUGGUGAGGUAAAGGCUCACCAAGGCGAUGAUACAUAGCCGACCUGAGAGGGUGAUCGGCCACAUUGGGACUGAGACACGGCCCAAACGCCUACGGGAGGCAGCAGUAGGGAAUCUUCGGCAAUGGACGAAAGUCUGACCGAGCAACGCCGCGUGAGUGAAGAAGGGUGUCGGGUCGUAAAACUCGGUUGGUAGAGAAGAACGUUGGUGAGAGUGGAAAGAUCAUCAAGUGACGGUAACUACCCAGAAAGGGACGGCUAACUACGUG
rnacentral:rRNA from 1 species